rnacentral:tRNA from 1 species
GGCACUGUAGCCCAGUGGUAAGAGUACUUGCCUGAUGUGCAUGAAGCUCUAAGUUCAAUCCCCAGGACUGCCA